CCCACUCUCAGGCUGGUGGGGUGGGGAAAGCAGCCCAUUCCUGGGCUCAGAGACUCCCACCCCAGCUCAGAGGGAGCAGGGGCCCAGCCAGGGACGGACCCUCAUUCCUCCCAGGGACCCCAGACCUCUGUCUCUCUCGGCUGAGUAUUUGUGCCAGGAAGACUGCGUGCAGAAGGUGACUGUCUCAGUGGAGCUGGGUCAUCUCAGUCCUACGGAGCCCCACGGGGGGACAAGGAGGAGCUGACACCCCAGAAGUGCUCUGAACCCCAAUCCUCAAAAUGAAGAUACUGACACCACCUUUGCCCUCCCCGUCACCGCGCACCCACCCUGACCCCUCCCUCAGCUGUCCUGUGCCCCGCCCUCUCCCGCACACUCAGUCCCCCUGCCUGGCGUUCCUGCCGCAGCUCUGACCUGGUGCUGUCGCCCUGGCAUCUUAAUAAAACCUGCUUAUACUUCCCUGGCAGGGGAGAUACCAUGAUCGCGGAGGUGGGUUUCCCAGGGCAAGGCUGAUCUGUUGCCGUAUUAGUCCGUUUUCACACAGCUAUAAAGAAUGCCUGAGACUGGGUGAUGUAUAAAGAAAAGAAGUUUAACUG
rnacentral:lncRNA from 10 species